UACGUAGGGCGCAAGCGUUACUCGGAAUCACUGGGCAUAAAGGGCGUGUAGGCGGAGGCGUAAGUCCGGUGUAAAAUCCCCCGGCUCAACCGGGGAAUGCCAUUGGAUACUGCGUCUCUUGAGUGCGGGAGGGGAGAGUGGAACUCUUGGUGGAGCGGUGAAAUGCGUAGAUAUCAAGAGGAACGCCGGUGGCGAAAGCGACUCUCUGGCCCGUUACUGACGCUGAGGCGCGAAAGCUAGGGGAGCAAACGGG
rnacentral:rRNA from 1 species